ACCCCCGGUAUUAUUGCUGUUAUGGGUUGCAACCGAGCUUAGCCUUGUUCAUUUUUUUACACAACACCCCUGUAAAAAAUAGAAUACGGCCCGCUCAAAGUCGCUGUCUCGCUACCAAAGCAGGCCUUGUCGACGCCCUCAUUUGCAGCAAAAAUGCCGCUUCAGCGCCGUUUUAGGGCAU
rfam:Pseudomonas putida strain TASWS0946 Contig184, whole genome shotgun sequence.